GCUAAUGCCGGAUAACAUGUUGAACCGCAUGGUUCUACAGUGAAAGGCGGCUUUGCUGUCACUUAUAGAUGGACCCGCGCCGUAUUAGCUAGUUGGUGAGGUGACGGCUCACCAAGGCAACGAUACGUAGCCGACCUGAGAGGGUGAUCGGCCACACUGGAACUGAGACACGGUCCAG
rnacentral:rRNA from 1 species